rnacentral:rRNA from 1 species
UCGGGAAUUUUGGGCAAUGGGCGAAAGCCUGACCCAGCAACGCCGCGUGAAGGAUGAAGUAUUUCGAUAUGUAAACUUCGUAAGAAUAGGAAGAAUAAAUGACGGUACUAUUUGUAAGGUCCGGCUAACUACGUGCCAGCAGCCGCGGUAAUACGUAGGGACCAAGCGUUGUUCGGAUUUACUGGGCGUAAAGGGCGCGUAGGCGGUGUGUCAAGUCAGUUGUGAAAUCUCCGAGCUUAACUCGGAACGGUCAACUGAUACUGUCACACUAGAGUACAGAAGGGGCAAUCGGAAUUCUUGGUGUAGCGGUGAAAUGCGUAGAUAUCAAGAGGAACACCGGUGGCGAAGGCGGCCCACUGGUCCGGUACUGACGCUGAGGUGCGAAAGCGUGGGGAGCAAACAGGAUUAGAUACCCCGGUAGUCCCUGAGCGGGCUGGCAAGGCGCAU